GACGAACGCUGGCGGCGUGCUUAACACAUGCAAGUCGAACGAUGAAGCCGGGGCUUUUUGUUUGGUGGAUUAGUGGCGAACGGGUGAGUAAUACGUGAGUAACCUGCCCUUGUCUUUGGGAUAAGCCUGGGAAACUGGGUCUAAUACCGGAUAUUCUGCUUCUGCCCGCAUGGGUGGGGGUUGGAAAGUAUUUUUUUGGAUGGGGAUGGGCUCACGGCCUAUCAGCUUGUUGGUGGGGUGAUGGCCUACCAAGGCGUCGACGGGUAGCCGGCCUGAGAGGGUGACCGGCCACAUUGGGACUGAGAUACGGCCCAG
rnacentral:rRNA from 1 species